GAUGGCGACCGGCGCACGGGUGAGUAACGCGUAUGCAACCUGCCUGAUACCGGGGUAUAGCCCAUGGAAACGUGGAUUAACACCCCAUAGUACUUUUAUCCUGCAUGGGAUGUGAGUUAAAUGUUUAAGGUAUCGGAUGGGCAUGCGUCCUAUUAGUUAGUUGGCGGGGUAACAGCCCACCAAGACGAUGAUAGGUAGGGGUUCUGAGAGGAAGGUCCCCCACAUUGGAACUGAGACACGGUCCAAACUCC
rnacentral:rRNA from 1 species